rnacentral:tRNA from 1 species
GCACAUAACUCAGUUGGUAGAGUGUUUGCCUCACUUACACAAGGCCCUGGGUUCGAGCCCCAGUACCGCA